AUGAACGCUAGCUACAGGCUUAACACAUGCAAGUCGAGGGGCAGCAUCAUCAAAGCUUGCUUUGAUGGAUGGCGACCGGCGCACGGGUGAGUAACACGUAUCCAACCUGCCGACAACUCUGGGAUAGCCUUUCGAAAGAAAGAUUAAUACCGGAUGGCAUAGUUUUCCCGCAUGGGAUGACUAUUAAAGAAUUUCGGUUGUCGAUGGGGAUGCGUUCCAUUAGGCAGUUGGCGGGGUAACGGCCCACCAAACCAACGAUGGAUAGGGGUUCUGAGAGGAAGGUCCCCCACAUUGGAACUGAGACACGGUCCAAACUCCUACGGGAGGCAGCAGUGAGGAAUAUUGGUCAAUGGACGAGAGUCUGAACCAGCCAAGUAGCGUGAAGGAUGACUGCCCUAUGGGUUGUAAACUUCUUUUAUACGGGAAUAAAGUGAGCCACGUGUGGUUUUUUGUAUGUACCGUAUGAAUAAGGAUCGGCUAACUCCGUGCCAGCAGCCGCGGUAAUACGGAGGAUCCGAGCGUUAUCCGGAUUUAUUGGGUUUAAAGGGAGCGUAGGCGGGUUGUUAAGUCAGUUGUGAAAGUUUGCGGCUCAACCGUAAAAUUGCAGUUGAUACUGGCGACCUUGAGUGCAACAGAGGUAGGCGGAAUUCGUGGUGUAGCGGUGAAAUGCUUAGAUAUCACGAAGAACUCCGAUUGCGAAGGCAGCUUACUGGAUUGUAACUGACGCUGAUGCUCGAAAGUGUGGGUAUCAAACAGGAUUAGAUACCCUGGUAGUCCACGCCGUAAACGAUGUCGACUUGGAGGUUGUGCCCUUGAGGCGUGGCUUCCGGAGCUAACGCGUUAAGUCGACCGCCUGGGGAGUACGGCCGCAAGGUUAAAACUCAAAUGAAUUGACGGGGGCCCGCACAAGCGGAGGAACAUGUGGUUUAAUUCGAUGAUACGCGAGGAACCUUACCCGGGCUUAAAUUGCAACUGACGGAAUCGGAAACGGUUCUUUCUUUGGACAGUUGUGAAGGUGCUGCAUGGUUGUCGUCAGCUCGUGCCGUGAGGUGUCGGCUUAAGUGCCAUAACGAGCGCAACCCUUACGGGUAGUUACCAUCAGGUUAUGCUGGGGACUCUACCCGGACUGCCGUCGUAAGAUGUGAGGAAGGUGGGGAUGACGUCAAAUCAGCACGGCCCUUACGUCCGGGGCUACACACGUGUUACAAUGGGGGGUACAGAAGGCAGCUACACGGCGACGUGGUGCUAAUCCCAAAAGCCUCUCUCAGUUCGGAUUGGAGUCUGCAACCCGACUCCAUGAAGCUGGAUUCGCUAGUAAUCGCGCAUCAGCCACGGCGCGGUGAAUACGUUCCCGGGCCUUGUACACACCGCCCGUCAAGCCAUGAAAGCCGGGGGUACCUGAAGUACGUAACCGCGAGGAGCGUCCUAGGGUAAAACUGGUGAUUGGGGCU
rnacentral:rRNA from 1 species